UCUCUCUUAGUACAGUGGUAAUUAAGUAUGUUGGCUUGUCGCGCCGAUGACGCAAGUUCGAUUCUCGUAGAGAGAA